CGGUUGCCUUCGGGGAUUAGUGGCAGCACGGGUGAGUAACGCGUGGGAAGCUACCUUGNCGGUACGGAACAACAGUUGGAAACGACUGCUAAUACCNUAUGAGCCCUAUGGGGGAAAGAUUUAUCGCCNUNAGAUGUGCCCGCGUUAGAUUAGCUAGUNGGUAAGGUAAUGGCUUACCAAGGCGACGAUCUAUAGCUGGUCUGAGAGGAUGAUCANCCCACACUGGGACUGAGACACGGCCCANACUCCUACGGGAGGCAGCAGUGGGGAAUAUUGGACAAUGGGGGCAACCCUGAUCCAGCCAUGCCGCGUGAGUGAUGACGGCCNUAGGGUUGUAAAGCUCUUUCAGCAGNGAAGAUAAUGACAUUAACUGCAGAAGAAGCCCCGGCUAACUUCNUGCCAGCAGCCGCNGUAAUACGNAGGGGGCUAGCGUUGUUCGGAAUCACUGGGCGUAAAGCGNACGUAGGCGGACUGAUCAGUCAGGGGUGAAAUCCCGGGGCUCAACCNCGGAACUGCCUUUGAUACUGUCAGUCUUGAGAUCGAGAGAGGUGAGUGGAACUCCCGAGNGUAGAGGUGAAAUUCNUAGAUAUUCGGAAGAACACCAGGUGGCGAANGCGGCUCACUGGCUCGAUACUGACGCCUGAGGUACCAAAAGCGUUGGNGAGCCAAACAGGGAUUA
rnacentral:rRNA from 1 species